UACAGAGGGUGCAAGCGUUAAUCGGAAUUACUGGGCGUAAAGCGUGCGUAGCCGGUUAUGUAAGUCAGGUGUGAAAGCCCCGGGCUCAACCUGGGAAUUGCAUUUGAGACUGCAUAGCUAGGGUGCGGAAGAGGGAAGCGGAAUUUCCGGUGUAGCGGUGAAAUGCGUAGAUAUCGGAAGGAACAUCAGUGGCGAAAGCGGCUUCCUGGUCCAGCACCGACGUUCAGGCACGAAAGCGUGGGGAGCAAACAGG
rnacentral:rRNA from 1 species